GGCGGCGUAGCUCAGUUGGUUAGAGCGAGCGGCUCAUAAUCGCUAGGUCGCUGGUUCGAGUCCAGCCGCCGCCA
rnacentral:tRNA from 1 species